rnacentral:sRNA from 1 species
CGGCCUUUGAACAAGUAAGUGAGCCACCCUCGGAGACCCCCGCGGUGGGGACGGGAGGCCGGCGAGCCUCGGUACCUCUGAAAGCCUUGAGGAGGCGCGGGGGUGAGUGCGGCCCUGAGGAAACCCAGGUGCCCCGCCCCUCCCUUUCUUCCUGGCCCGCGCCUCGCCUACCCCUCCCCCGACCCUGGCGGGCCCCCGGCUCUGGGCCCGGACCCCUGGGGUAGCGAGUCUGCCACGAACCAGCCGCGCGCUUCUGCCCUUGUCGGUUUAGGAAACUGGGAAGUUCCCUGGUCCUGCUCCCCAGCCCGCAGAGGGGACACUGAGGCCUACGGUAGGUGGUCCUCUCCUCACCCGAGUCUCCACACAGACACCAUGGCCGAGCCUCUGAAGGAGGAAGACGGCGAGGACGGCUCUGCGGAGCCCCCCGGGCCCGUGAAGGCCGAACCCGCCCACACCGCUGCCUCUGUAGCGGCCAAGAACCUGGCCCUGCUUAAAGCCCGCUCCUUCGAUGUGACCUUUGACGUGGGCGACGAGUACGAGAUCAUCGAGACCAUAGGCAACGGGGCCUAUGGAGUGGUGUCCUCCGCCCGCCGCCGCCUCACCGGUGAGCUUCCUGAGCCGUCGCCUCCCAGAUGUGGCAGCGUCGCAGGGAGUGGGAAACCGGCCUGUCCCAGACAGCCGGGAAGGAAAGCGGGGUGCGAGUUCUGGCUCCAGUCAACACACACUGACCAGGGCCUUCUGCCUGCCAGGCUCCGGGGAGGCUCGGUUCUCUGAAACUCCGGCCUGGUGGUUUUGCCAUCCUGCCUGCCUACUUCCUCCUUAGGAAAAUCAUAGUCCCAGUUAGACCAGAAUGGAGAGCCAGUCCUUCGUGUCUAAGAGAGAAAUGUGUUCUGGAGCCAGACACUGGCAUAAGGAACUGGUGGUGGGAUGGGUGAGGUCUGAGAUGGAGAGGGUGUAGGCAUAAGAGGCAGAACUACACCACUGGGCAUCCGUGCAACCUCCAACAAGUUACUAAGCCAUAUUUCCUUCUCUUUAACGUUGACCUAUUGGGACCUGCCCCGUAGGGGAGUUGUGAAGGUAACAUUUAAUAAUGUAGGUAACAUGCUUAGCACAGGGCUUGGCACAUAGUAGGUACCCAAUACUUGGUAGCUGUUGUCAUUUGCAUCCUAGAAGGGAGGUGUUGAUAGGGGCUGAGUCGACUCUGCAGUUUCUCCAAGGUAUCCUCUGGUAUGUCCCUGUUCCCUGCUCCUCAGGCCAGCAGGUGGCCAUCAAGAAGAUCCCUAAUGCUUUCGAUGUGGUGACCAAUGCCAAGCGGACCCUCAGGGAGCUGAAGAUCCUCAAGCACUUUAAACACGACAACAUCAUCGCCAUCAAGGACAUCCUGAGGCCCACCGUGCCCUAUGGCGAAUUCAAAUCUGUGUAAGAAGCGGGAUGGGAGAGGGAGCCAGACUUGGGACUUUUCUGAAGGCUGCAACCAUGUUGCCGAAGUUCUGGAAAGGCAGCUGAAUCUAAUCUGAAGCAGGCUGGGAAAAUUCCCGCAGUUCUAGGACCAGUUCUUUAGAGUUUUGCCAGGGACAACUGUUAUUCCUCAAGAAGUGUACAGAUGAUUUUACAGUUUUAUAGAAUCUUAGUAUAUGGGAUGUCAAAUGUAGGACAUUCCUACUAUGACCACACCCUCCUAUUCCCAUAGCAGACUUCACUAAUCAAUCACAGAACACUUUCCUACAGACAGUGGACAAGCCUGGUCAAUUUUCAUCAUAGUUCUUCAAGCUGCCACUACCAAACAAUGGAGAUAGCCCCAAAAGGAAACCUAUUGGCCAGCCCUGGUGUAGUCCAACCCCAUCUUUUAUCUGAUGGGGAAACUAGGUCUGGAGACAAAAGUGAUUUAACCAAGUUCAUGGAAAAGUCGUAGAGAAUCUAAAACGUGAUGCUCUUCUUCCAUACCAUGCCGUCAGCCCCUACGGGGUCCCAGGGUAAGGCUGUUACCUGUCUGGAAUCGGAAGGGUGUGGUGAGGAUGGGGCUUGUCCCUGGAGUGUGAUCAGGCCAACCCAUGCUUCUCUCCUUCCUUCCCCUUCCAGCUACGUGGUCCUGGACCUGAUGGAAAGCGACCUGCACCAGAUUAUCCACUCCUCACAGCCCCUCACACUGGAACACGUGCGCUACUUCCUGUACCAACUGCUGCGGGGCCUGAAGUACAUGCACUCGGCUCAGGUCAUCCACCGUGACCUCAAGCCCUCCAACCUAUUGGUGAAUGAGAACUGUGAGCUCAAGAUUGGUGACUUUGGUAUGGCUCGUGGCCUGUGCACCUCGCCCGCUGAACAUCAGUACUUCAUGACUGAGUAUGUGGCCACGCGCUGGUACCGUGCGCCCGAGCUCAUGCUCUCUUUGCAUGAGUAUACACAGGCUAUUGACCUCUGGUCUGUGGGCUGCAUCUUUGGUGAGAUGCUGGCCCGGCGCCAGCUCUUCCCAGGCAAAAACUACGUACACCAGCUACAGCUCAUCAUGAUGGUGCUGGGUACCCCAUCACCAGCCGUGAUUCAGGCUGUGGGGGCUGAGAGGGUGCGGGCCUAUAUCCAGAGCUUGCCACCACGCCAGCCUGUGCCCUGGGAGACAGUGUACCCAGGUGCCGACCGCCAGGCCCUAUCACUGCUGGGUCGCAUGCUGCGUUUUGAGCCCAGCGCCCGCAUCUCAGCAGCUGCUGCCCUUCGCCACCCUUUCCUGGCCAAGUACCAUGAUCCUGAUGAUGAGCCUGACUGUGCCCCGCCCUUUGACUUUGCCUUUGACCGCGAAGCCCUCACUCGGGAGCGCAUUAAGGAGGCCAUUGUGGCUGAAAUUGAGGACUUCCAUGCAAGGCGUGAGGGCAUCCGCCAACAGAUCCGCUUCCAGCCUUCUCUACAGCCUGUGGCUAGUGAGCCUGGCUGUCCAGAUGUUGAAAUGCCCAGUCCCUGGGCUCCCAGUGGGGACUGUGCCAUGGAGUCUCCACCACCAGCCCCGCCACCGUGCCCCGGCCCUGCACCUGACACCAUUGAUCUGACCCUGCAGCCACCUCCACCAGUCAGUGAGCCUGCCCCACCAAAGAAAGAGGGUGCCAUCUCAGACAAUACUAAGGCUGCCCUUAAAGCUGCCCUGCUCAAGUCUUUGAGGAGCCGGCUCAGAGGUGCCUUGUGGGCAGGUCGGGUGGGCAGAGGGGAGACUUGGACUUGGACAAGGCUUCAGGCUUUUACCUUCUCCCCUGCCCAACUUCCCCGCAGAUGGCCCCAGUGCACCCCUGGAGGCUCCUGAGCCUCGGAAGCCGGUGACAGCCCAGGAGCGCCAGCGGGAGCGGGAGGAGAAGCGGCGGAGGCGGCAAGAACGAGCCAAGGAGCGGGAGAAACGGCGGCAGGAGCGGGAGCGAAAGGAACGGGGGGCUGGGGCCUCUGGGGGCCCCUCCACUGACCCCUUGGCUGGACUAGUGCUCAGUGACAAUGACAGAAGCCUGUUGGAACGCUGGACUCGAAUGGCCCGGCCCGCAGCCCCAGCCCCCACCUCUGUGCCGGCCCCUGCCCCAGCGCCAACGCCAACCCCAACCCCAGUCCAACCUACCAGUCCUCUUCCUGGCCCUGUAGCCCAGCCCACUGGCCCGCAACCACAACCUGCGGGCUCUACCUCUGGCCCUGUACCCCAGCCUGCCUGCCCACCCCUUGGCCCUGCACCCCACCCCACUGGCCCUCCUGGGCCCAUCCCUGUCCCCGUGCCACCCCAGAUUGCCACCUCCACCAGCCUCCUGGCUGCCCAGUCACUUGUGCCACCCCCUGGGCUGCCUGGCUCCAGCACCCCAGGGAUUUUGCCUUACUUCCCACCUGGCCUGCCACCCCCAGACGCCGGGGGAGCCCCUCAGUCUUCCAUGUCAGAGUCACCUGAUGUCAACCUUGUGACCCAACAGCUAUCUAAGUCACAGGUGGAGGACCCCCUGCCCCCUGUGUUCUCAGGCACACCAAAGGGCAGUGGGGCUGGCUACGGUGUUGGCUUUGACCUGGAGGAAUUCUUAAACCAGUCUUUCGACAUGGGCGUGGCUGAUGGGCCACAGGAUGGCCAGGCAGAUUCAGCCUCUCUCUCAGCCUCCCUGCUUGCUGACUGGCUCGAAGGCCAUGGCAUGAACCCUGCCGAUAUUGAGUCCCUGCAGCGUGAGAUCCAGAUGGACUCCCCAAUGCUGCUGGCUGACCUGCCUGACCUCCAGGACCCCUGAGGCCCACAGCCUGUGCCUUGCUGCCACAGUAGACCUAGUUCCAGGAUCCAUGGGAGCAUUCUCAAAGGCUUUAGCCCUGGACCCAGCAGGUGAGGCUCGGCUUGGAUUAUUCUGCAGGUUCAUCUCAGACCCACCUUUCAGCCUUAAGCAGCCACCUGAGCCACCACCGAGCCAUGGCAGGAUCGGGAGACCCCAACUCCCCCUGAACAAUCCUUUUCAGUAUUAUAUUUUUAUUAUUAUUAUGUUAUUAUUACACUGUCUUUUUGCCAUCAAAAUGAGGCCUGUGAAAUACAAGGUUCCCUUCUGC